UACGUAGGGUGCAAGCGUUGUCCGGAUUUAUUGGGCGUAAAGAGCUCGUAGGCGGCUUAGCAAGUCGGUAGUUAAAACAGCAGGCUCAACCUGCUGUCGCUUUCGAUACUGCUAUGGCUUGAGUCUGGUAGGGGAUGACGGAAUUCCUGGUGUAGCGGUGAAAUGCACAGAUAUCAGGAGGAACACCGGUGGCGAAGGCGGUCAUCUGGGCCAGUACUGACGCUGAGGAGCGAAAGCGUGGGGAGCGAACAGG
rnacentral:rRNA from 1 species